rnacentral:piRNA from 1 species
UGAAAUAAAGGCUAUACUGUUUGAUUGGAUU